ensembl:lincRNA
CACAUAUGUUUGUGAUGCACAUGUUGAAUGCUAUCACACAUUCUCAGCCCAGGAGAGCUAAUGCAGCAGGCCAACUGCAUCCUUUAGGCCAGUGAGCAUUUGUAUACUGUGCUGCAAAUGUUCUCAGCCAAAUAGUACUGUCUGGACACCAAGCAGAGAGAAUUCUCGAUGCAUUAUUUUUUCACUGCCACUCUCUGUCACUAAUUUUGUUCUUUGAAAAAUGUCCCUGACCUCAAUUGCCAAUACAUAAGUAAAUAAAAUAAAAUGUAAAAUUGAUAGUGCAGUUCUGUCCAAAGAUGCAAAAGAAAGGUUUGACUGAGGCUUAAGGUAACUUGAAAGAGAUAAUUUAGUCUACUCAGGAUAAAAGGUAGUGAUCAAUUAGUGAUUGAUGGAAGUCAUUUGGCAUUAUUAAGGAAAUCAUAAGCAUCAUUAUAAAUUGGUGAAUAGAAUAACAAUUAUUUGCAAGGUAUAAGAAAGAAAUGACAGAGGUAUGUUGUGAUUUCAGAGUAUUUGGAGAGCAUAAAAAUGAUAUUCCUAAAACCUAGAAGAUACCACCAUGAGAAAACGAGUGAUGCUGUAGCAUUGAAUCAGGAUGCACUCCUAAGAGAAGACUACCUGAAAGGCGUGUACACUGGUCUAGCAGUUGAGGUCAGCUAGUGUUCCAUCUAUCUUCUGUCAUGUAACCAAUGGCUCUACCCAACAUAUUCUUCUCAUCACAGAUGACAAAGACACAAGGAGCCAAGACAGAUCAUUCAAGCAUAUUCAUUGCCUCCAUCUUCAUCCCGUUAAAUAACAUCCCGCCAACCAAAGCAAGUUAUCUGCAUAAGAAUAAAUAUUCCACCUACUCUACUGCAAGGCCCUGCAAGAGUCAUGAGACAAAAGGCAAAUGCAUUUGUUUCCCUCUAUUCAUUAUUAGAAGAGAGGAGAUUACAUACCAGACAUAUACCAAUAGGUUUUCUCUUCAUAAUACCUAUGUCAUCUAGUAGCAUAACGUAAGGCAGAAUCCUUCAAAGAUUUUCACCUGAACUUUUCUUGAGCAUCUCUAGACAGUCACAUGCAG